CGCUUGUUCUUUAAUAAGGAGGGGUAGCACCGGCAUCCCGAGGGCUGAACUGUCCCCCCUUUCAAAUCCGGGAAUCUGACCUCUUCGUGAAGAACCGUUAAUGUAAAAAUAAGACGAUAAUACCCCAUGGAGCUUAAAACCAAGUAGCACAAUUUUUCUAAUACACCUUAAAAAAUAGGACACCUGCUACUUAUUUUUUGGCUGGGGCAUCCAAGGAGUUGAAUCUAACCUCCCUGACAACAUUCCAACAGUUACAACUCUAAUAGGCACUUCACUGAUGUAAAAUGACCCGAGUAUCGAUCAACGAACCAAGUUACCGUGGGGAUAACAGCGCAAUCCAUUUUGAGAGCCCCUAUCGACGAAUGGGUUUACGACCUCGAUGUUGGAUCAGGGUAUCCCAUUGGUGCAUCCGCUACUAAAGGUUCGUUUGUUCAACGAUUAAAACCCUACGUGAUCUGAUU
rnacentral:rRNA from 1 species